GAUGAACGCUGGCGGCGCGCCUAACACAUGCAAGUCGAACGGUUAAAGCACCUUUUAGGUGUGUAUAAAGUGGCGAACGGCUGAGUAACACGUGGGCAACCUGCCCUCCUCUUGGGGAUAGCCUCGGGAAACCGAGGAUAAUACCCGAUACUUCAAUGUGGCCGCAUGACGACAUUGAGAAAGCUUUUGCGGAGAAGGAUGGGCCCGCGGCCUGUUAGCUUGUUGGUGGGGUAGAGGCCUACCAAGGCAAUGAUGGGUAGCUGGGUUGAGAGACCGACCAGCCAGAUUGGGACUGAGACACGGCCCAGACUCCUACGGGAGGCAGCAGUGGGGAAUCUUGCACAAUGGGCGAAAGCCUGAUGCAGCGACGCCGCGUGCGGGACGAAGGCCUUCGGGUUGUAAACCGCUUUCAGCAGGGACGAGGCGAAAGUGACGGUACCUGCAGAAGAAGCCCCCGCUAAC
rnacentral:rRNA from 2 species